CCUUCUUCCCCACUGCCCCGCCGCCACUUGGCGUGCAGCCACCGGCCACACGACCACCUGAGCCGCCAACCACGCGUCCUUGUCUCCCACCUCGCGCAAGGCCCGCGGAACCCAGAUCGGGGCCCUGAGAGCCCAUCUACGAAGAACCGCGUCGCCGCCCGCUCCUCCCGUCGCUCGACCCCUCCACCCAAGCGCCUCCUCCUCACCUCGUCUCCCUCGCGCCGGCCGACCACCGGAGACAUCGCCGUCGGCCACCACGGUAGCGGACCAGGAGCUCGCCGCCCUGGUGAUUUGCGUCUUCUCGAUCCGGCCAAGAACGGAACCCCGGUGACCUCCCGUGCUCAGAUCUGGCCGCCCCGACGCCUUCGCUCGCGGAUCCGGCGAGCCCCAGUCGUAUCCCGCCGCCGCCGUUGACCCCUGCCUCCUGCAUCGUCGGUUGCGUACAAGGACGAAGGCACGCCCGUGUGGGCCCGCCUCGGCCUCCUCCUCGUCCAAGGCUGCUCAGGCCAGCUUUUCCUCCUCGCGCGUGGCCCAGCCGCCCCGCGCCCUGCUGCAGGCUCAACCCACCAGAUCCGCUGGCCCCAAGGCCCGCGAGCUUCGAUUUCGUUCUGGAGAUGUGAGGAUUUGUUCGACUAUGUCCGUUUGUCUUCUUCAUGGACUCGUCCUUCUUCCUUGCGGGAUCUCAGGCAAGAUGAC